UGCGGAGUGGGGAAAUUGGUAUCCCGCUGGUCUCAUAAUCCAGAGGUUACGGGUUCAAGUCCCGUCUCCGCAA
rnacentral:tRNA from 1 species